GAUGAACGCUAGCUACAGGCUUAACACAUGCAAGUCGAGGGGCAGCAUGCAGGUAGCUUGCUAUCUGUGAUGGCGACCGGCGCACGGGUGAGUAACGCGUAUCCAACCUUCCCCUUAGUAGAGGAUAGCCCGGCGAAAGUCGGAUUAAUACUCUAUGUUCUUCCUGGAUGGCAUCUGAUGGGAAGCAAAGGUUCACCGCUAAGGGAUGGGGAUGCGUCUGAUUAGCUUGUCGGCGGGGUAACGGCCCACCGAGGCGACGAUCAGUAGGGGUUCUGAGAGGAAGGUCCCCCACAUUGGUACUGAGACACGGACCAAACUCC
rnacentral:rRNA from 1 species